UAAGACAUAGUGAUGUUAGCUUCUAUUU
rnacentral:piRNA from 1 species